ACAAUUAUAAAUCACAGAGCUCUGGCAAAAAGAGAAACAGACAGUCGCAUAGCAACUAGCAAAUAUUACAGGCUCCAUAAGCUUUCUCACUGUUCAGAGAGUGUUCGGUUACUAUCUUUUCAGAACCGUCCUAAAUAUUUCCAUGUUACUGCUUACAAGCGGAGCUGAGAUUCCACCCUUAAUUGUGCUGGCUUCCAGAGAUUAUGUUCUUUCUAAUACACCAUGCUAGUGAAAUGGCCAGGGGCUGGACCCAGCACAAAGCGAGAUUGCAACAGAAAUGUACCAGAACCCAGUCCUUCCAUUUGUUAAUAAAGCAAAUAAUAAAUUUUUCACAAUACAACCGUCUGCUUCUGACGUGCCUGGGGCGGAAUUAAACUGACCUCAGCACAACCACGUGUCAGUAGCUGCUCUUUCCUACACUGAAGCCAAAAGCUGGCAAUUUCCAGUUUAAAAAUCGGAAAGACUUUUUAACGCUCUGCAUACGUGUUUACCAGCCACACAACGUUCGGUCAGGCCGUGUCAAAAGGCGGCGACAAAGAAAACCCUUCUCUGCCAGGCGUACCCAGCGCUCAGCCCGGGCCAGGCCGCCCCGGAGCUCGGGCCCAGGACAAAGCCGCUUCUCGCGGGACCGAAGGCUACGUGCUCAGGCCUGGCAGGGCCUGAGACUCAGGCCUUGCCUCCAGCGGCAGCAGUCUACACCCAUCCCCCCCGACCCGGGGAGCGGCAUUCGCCCUCGCCCUGGAGCCCCCCAGGACCAACCCCGGGGGCCGCACUCCCUUCGCCUCCGCCCGGCCACCGCCGGGAGAGGUCUCGUGUUCCGGGGCAACCUCAACCCCGGGAGGAUUGCAAUGGAUGCAUCCCUGAAGCCCUCCAAAUACCGGCCUUACCAUGGCUGCGCUGAGCACGGAAAGAGGGCCGGUCCUUUCCGGUGUCUCCAGAAAACAGGGUUGGACCCUGCGCAGGCCAGGGCCUCAAACGCUCCGCCCAGCGCAGCCUUUACUAGAGAGCUGAGGUGCUAUCUUGCCACCUACUGGUGGGAGGUCAGAAGUCCCGGGGAGGAGCAAGGGCGGCGGAAAGAAGGGUGUCUCUUAAGGGCACAUUUCCUCCUUUUCUGUCUCAAGUAGUUACUGAGCGUCUCUUGCGUCCCAGAUUCUGUGCUAGGUACUGGAAAUACAAAGAUGAAUUAGACAUGUUCCUGCCUUCAAGGAGAGUGCAAACAAUUGGUCCCUCCUGAUGACAUGUCCAAAGUAAGCAAGACAGAGUCUCACCAUCCUCACUUCUAAGGAGCAUUCUGGCUGUACUUCCUCCAAGCUUUCGCAUGCAUAUGAGGCCAUUGAAAAUACCAUGGCUUAUUGGCUACCGCUACUAAGCAUUUUUAUCGAAGAGUCUAUAGAAGAAUCCAGAUCAAAAGAGGGAAAAUGCGGAACAGAAUUUAAAAUUCUCGUAAAAUCUAGACUUUCUGGAGCUAUGGAGGCUGAAUGAACCCCUGGAACUAAUGCCGUGAGAUAACCUUUAAACCGUAAACCCAAAAUAUCCCCUGAAGUCUUCUUAAAACCAAACAAUAGUUUAGCUUAGCUAGUAAAGAAUGUCUGCCUUGAGCGUUAUGCUCUUUUAAGAUUAUUUAUAUGAGAUCAAAUUGACGACAGCAACAUGAAAGAUCAGAUAGGAACCUUAGGGGGCAGUGUUAAUGGGGGAGGAACAACUCAGAAAAGGAAGGUUAGAAUGGUUGCACAACUAGUAGAAUGUAACCAAUGUCACUGAAUUUGUACAUGUAGAAACUUGAAUUGCUGUAUGUUUUGCUGUGUAUAUUCUCAACAACAGCAACGACAACAACAAAAUAAAAUGAAUCACUAAAAAAAAAAAUCAUGGCUUGGAUCAAGAGCACCUUAGUCAUCAAAGUGAAAUCUUUGAUUUUUAGUACUCGAAGGAGGUCUUUUGCGGAUUUGCACAAUACAAUAUGUCAUUUGAUUUCUUGACUGCUGAUUCAGUGGGCACUGAUUGUUGGUCCAAAUAAAAGGAAAUCCUUGACAACUCCAAUCUUUUCACCAUUUUCCAUAAUGUUGUUUAUUGGUCCUGUCGUAAGGAUUUUCGUUUUCAUUAUGUUGAGGCGUAACCUGUAUUGAAGGCUUUGAUCUUCAUCAGUAAGUGCUUCAAGUCCUCUUCACUUUCAGCAUGCAAGGUUGUGUCAUCUGCAUAUCACAGGUUGUUAAUGAGUCUUCCUUCAAUCCUGCUGCCCCGUUCUUCUUCAUACGGUCCAGUUUCUCAGAUUAUUUGCUCAGCAUACAGACUGAAAGGUUACAACCCUGACGUACACCUUCCCUGACUUUAAACCAUGCAGUAUCCCCUUGCUGUGUUUGGACGACUGCCUCUUGGUCUAAGUACAGGCUCCUCAAGAGCACAAUUAAGUACUCUGGAAUUCCCAUUCUUCACAAUGUUAUACAUAAUUGGUUAUGAUCCACACAGUCAAAUGCCUUUGCGUACUUAAUAAAACACAGGUAAACAUCUUUCUGGUAUUCUCUGCUUUCAGCCAGGAUCCAUCUGACAUCAGUAAUGAUACCCCUUGUUCCGUGUCCUCUUCUAAAUCCGGCUUGAAUUUCUGGCAGUUCCCAGUCGAUGUAUGGUUGCAGCCAUUUUUUAAUUAUCUUCAGCAAAAUUUUGCUAGCAUGUGGUAUUGAUGAUAUUGUUCUAAAAUUUCCACAUUCUGUUUGAUUGCCCUUUCUUGGAAUGGGCAGGAAUAUGAAUCUCUUCCCAUCAUGGCACAUGUUUAAUGCCCAUCACUACCACACUUUUCCUUAUACCCCUUUGUAAUCCCUCACUCCUGCUCCUUCCACCCUCCGUUCCCAGGCGACCGCCGAUCUGCUUUCUGUUACUAUUGAUUAGUUUGUAUUUUUUAGAAUUUUAAAUAAAUGGAAUAAUACAAUAUAUACUUUUUUGGUCUGGCUUUUUUCACUCAGCAUAAGUAUUUUGAGGCUCAUCCAUGUCAUUGCGUGUAUCAAUAACUUAUAUUUUUUAGUGCUGAGUAGUGUUCCAUUGUCCUUUCACCUGUGGAUAGACAUUUGGGUUGUUUCCAGUUUUGGGUGAUUACAAAUAAAGGUGCUAUGAACAUUUCUGUACAAAUCUUUUUAUGGACAAUGCUUUCAUUUCUCCUGGGCAAAUAUCUAGGAGUAGAAUAGCAGUGUGAGAGUUCCAGUUGCUUCACAUCCUUGCCAACACUUGUUAAGGUCAAUAUUUCUAAAUUUUUGACCAUGCUAAUGGACGUGUAGUGCUAUCUCAUUGUGGUUUUAUUUUGCAUUUCCCUAAAGGCUAAUGAUGUCUGACAUCUUUUAAUGUGCUUUUUUGCCAUCUGUG